rnacentral:tRNA from 2 species
AGAAAAGUAAGCUAAAUAAAGCUAAUGGGUUCAUACCCCAUAAAUAGAGCAAAGUUCUCUCUCUUCUA